rnacentral:sRNA from 1 species
GACCUUUCCUUAGUAGAGGACAGUAAGAAUACUAUUGGCUCUGGGCACUAACCAUUUGAGCUGUGGGACCCAGAGAAUCUCUCUCGUAAGCAUCAUCUUUAGUGGGUGACUCCUGGUGGCCCUCCCAGCUCUGGUGGUGCUGUGGGGACCUGCCUUGGAGAUGCCUUGGUACUAGUACCUUUUGUGUACCAGGCCAUGAGCCUAGGGCACAGGGCCUCUGGGCUGCAGAUUUCAGGGAGGCAGCUGUGUUGUGUGAACCAAUACAGCCUGCCAGCACUUCUGUCCCGAGUGACUGUCGUUGUCAUCGUUAGCAUGUUGCCUGAAAAGCCUUGGGGUCUGGGGGCUGACACUGAAGCUUUUUUUUCCCUUCUGGCUCUGUGAUGUCCAGCAUUACCCAGAACGGCAUGGAGGACCAGAGCGCCACGGCCGGGACUCCCGCGAUGGCUGGGGGGGCUAUGGCUCUGACAAGAGGAUGAGUGAGGGCCGGGGGCUGCCUCCUCCCCCCAGACGUGACUGGGGGGACCAUGGCCGAAGAGAGGAUGACCGGGCAUGGCAGGGCACGGCUGACGGGGGCAUGAUGGACAGGGAUCACAAGAGGUGGCAAGGUGAGGAGCAGCUCUGGGCUGGGACCAGGAUGUGCUGGGGAGUGGUGGAAAGAUGGAGGCCGCGCCUUCUCUCGCUCCUCGGGGGAGCACAGGAGGUGCUCUGCCCUCAGUGCUGGAAUGAGGAAUGAAGAGCACUCCAGACACCGCCUGCUCUCUGGUGGUCUGGCCCAGGAGUUGGACAGUGGGCGUUCCCGAGUCCUCUCUGCUGGGAGGAAGCUGGAUGUCUAUGGUCCCUGUGCCCAAGUGUCCUCCUGGGACCUGCUAGUUCCGGGUACCUGGGGGCCUCACCAAAGGGAGUGGAGUGGGCUAAAUGUGCUGUGGGUUCCACGCCAUGUGCGCAGGUUCCCUGUGUGAAAGCACGUCUGUCUUCCAGGUGGCGAAAGAAGCAUGUCCGGUCACUCUGGGCCUGGCCACAUGAUGAACCGAGGAGGAAUGUCAGGGCGCGGCAGCUUUGCCCCAGGCGGGGCCUCCCGGGGCCACCCCAUCCCACACGGUGGCAUGCAGGGCGGGUUUGGAGGCCAGAGCCGGGGGAGCAGGCCCAGCGACGCCCGUUUCACUCGCCGCUACUGAGUACUUGGAAUCCUGUGUCCUGUUACGUGGCAACAAGGCUAUGUUCUGUUAGGAGUUACCUUAAACUGUGUAAAAAUAUUUUUUUUUAAUCUGCUGCCAUAUUGUAGCUCAAUACAAUGUGAAUUUGUUUUUCGUUUUGGGGUUUUUUUUUUUUUUGUAAUAAAUGUGUUUCCGUUCACAUACCCUUUA